GAUGAAGAACGUAGCGAAAUGCGAUAAGUAAUGUGAAUUGCAGAAUUCAGUGAAUCAUCGAAUCUUUGAACGCACCUUGCGCCCUUUGGCUAUUCCAGAGGGCAUGCCUGUUUGAGUAUCAUGAACACCUCAACUCUCAUGGUUCUGCCAUGAUGAGCUUGGACUUUGGAGGUCUUGCUGGCCCCUGUGGUCAGCUCCUCUCAAAUGGAUCAGCUUGCCAGUGUUUGGUGGCAUCACAGGUGUGAUAACUAUCUACGCUUGUGGUUUUCCACCAGGUAACCUUCAGUGAUGGAGGUUCGCUGGAGCUCAUAAACGUCUCUCCUCAGCGAGGACAGCUUCUUGAAUGUUUGAUCUCAAAUCAGGUAGGGCUACCCGCUGAACUUAAGCAUAUCAAUAAGCGGAGGA
rnacentral:misc_RNA from 1 species